CGACUUUGCUGGCGAUCAUUCCGAGCUU
rnacentral:snRNA from 1 species